rnacentral:misc_RNA from 1 species
GUUGGUGAACCAGCGGAGGGAUCAUUACAGAGUUGCAAAACUCCCAACCCUUUGUGAACAUACCUAAGUUGCUUCGGCAGGCAGGCCCAGGGCGGGUCUGUAGCCUGUUUUCAGGUGCCUGCCGGAGGUUUUAAACUCUACAUUUUAGUGAUAUCUGAGUAAUAAACUUAAAUAAGUCAAAACUUUCAGCAACGGAUCUCUUGGUUCUG